AUGAACGCUGGCGGCGUGCCUAAUACAUGCAAGUCGAGCGAAUGGAUUGAGAGCUUGCUCUCAAGAAGUUAGCGGCGGACGGGUGAGUAACACGUGGGUAACCUGCCCAUAAGACUGGGAUAACUCCGGGAAACCGGGGCUAAUACCGGAUAACAUUUUGAACUGCAUGGUUCGAAAUUGAAAGGCGGCUUCGGCUGUCACUUAUGGAUGGACCCGCGUCGCAUUAGCUAGUUGGUGAGGUAACGGCUCACCAAGGCAACGAUGCGUAGCCGACCUGAGAGGGUGAUCGGCCACACUGGGACUGAGACACGGCCCAGACUCCUACGGGAGGCAGCAGUAGGGAAUCUUCCGCAAUGGACGAAAGUCUGACGGAGCAACGCCGCGUGAGUGAUGAAGGCUUUCGGGUCAUAAAACUCUGUUGUUAGGGAAGAACAAGUGUUAGUUGAAUAAGCUGGCACCUUGACGGUACCUAACCAGAAAGCCACGGCUAACUACGUGCCAGCAGCCGCGGUAAUACGU
rnacentral:rRNA from 1 species